GAUGUUUGUGCCUUAGAUAUUCCUCUUGAAUUUCAGCACUUGGCUUCUUGUUUAUGACAAGUCCUCCCAAAGUUUCUCUCUCUUUUAUUCGUCUGUGAUGUCUCAAUUGGUCAUCCUCUCCCUUCCUUGAACGAAGUGGUUUUGUAAUGCCUGAGCUCUUGGUUUUUCCAUGUUUGUGCUUAUCCUUGUGCACAUGGUGAAGGUAGUAAUGAUAAUCAGUUUCUCUCAAAAGAUUCUCGUGCCUUGGAUCAUUG
rnacentral:lncRNA from 1 species